AUAGGUCUUCAGGGAUAGGUGUAAUUCCUUACCGGCGGUAGGCAGCAAAGCUGUGAGCCCGCGAGCUUUUAUAGAGCAGAUCCGGUCAAAGUCCGGAGCCGACAGUAAAGUCUGGAUGGAAGAAGAUGUUA
rnacentral:ncRNA from 2 species